rnacentral:rRNA from 1 species
GACAUAGGUCGCAAACGUUAUCCGGAAUUAUUGGGCGUAAAGGAUGCGUAGAUGGUUCAGUAAGUUACUGGUGGGAAAUCGAGGCCCAACCUCGUGGAAGUUAGUAAUACUGUUGAACUUGAGUGCAGGAGAGGUUAACGGAACUUCAUGUGGAGCGGUAAAAUGCGUAGAUAUAUGAAAGACAUCAAUAUAGCGAAGGCAGUUAACUAUUUUGCUACUGACAUUGAGGCAUGAAAGCGUGGGGAGCAAACGG